rnacentral:rRNA from 1 species
UGGGGAAUUUUGGACAAUGGGCGAAAGCCUGAUCCAGCAAUGCCGCGUGCAGGAAGAAGGCCUUCGGGUUGUAAACUGCUUUUGUACGGAACGAAAAGGCUCUUUCUAAUAAAGAGGGCCCAUGACGGUACCGUAAGAAUAAGCACCGGCUAACUACGUGCCAGCAGCCGCGGUAAUACGUAGGGUGCGAGCGUUAAUCGGAAUUACUGGGCGUAAAGCGUGCGCAGGCGGUUCUAUAAGACAGAUGUGAAAUCCCCGGGCUCAACCUGGGAAUGGCAUUUGUGACUGUAGAGCUAGAGUACGGUAGAGGGGGAUGGGAAUUCCGCGUGUAGCAGUGAAAUGCGUAGAUAUGCGGAGGAACACCGAUGGCGAAGGCAAUCCCCUGGACCUGUACUGACGCUCAUGCACGAAAGCG